CAGCUAUGGUUUGUUUGAUUAACUAAGUGAUAUGUUAUUGUGUUCAAUGGUAGAGAUAAAGCUACUCACGGAUCAAACAUCAUCAAACCGGAUCAAAAACAUCAUCAAAGCAGCUCUCUUCUAUGGCAAGAGGUUAGUAGAGUAUCCUUUAAUGCGUGUUAGUUGUGUGAUUAGGUUGGGAAUUAAAUGGCCUUUAGAGUUUUGUAGUUGUGAGUUGGUUGUUUUAGUUUUAGGUUUACAUUAACUAUUGUGUUCAAUGCGUAGAAGAGUUUUAGGUUUACAUUAACUCUCCUUAACUCAGCUUUUAAAAGCGAACAACCCUUGCUUUCUCCUUUCAUAUCUCCUUCUCAUUUGCUAUUUCCUUUUAGAUUUUAAACAAGAUCUCCUUAUGGAUUCAUAUAGUCAACCUUCUAGCUUUUUAAACCUCUUAAACAGUCAAUAACCAAAUACUCAACACCCUAAUCUGUAUGUCAGCCAACA
rnacentral:lncRNA from 1 species